rnacentral:lncRNA from 1 species
UGUCUCUACGUGGAAUAAUGAUGGAUUGAUCAUGUUGCACUGAGUUUUUUGAUUCGUGGAGCGGUGGCUUCUUGAGUAGUGAUAUUUGUUUCUUUUGCAUGGUUUUACGUUUGUACAUGGUUCUGACGUACUUAGCAUGAAUCUUGAACGAUGGUUUUUGUUUCCUUUUACGUUUUUUUUCUUUUGUAUGUUUGUCUUGUCGUUGAUUUUAUUAUCAUUAAUUGUUUUUCUUCAUUUUUAUGUUACGCAGGCUGUUAGGGGUCAAAAAUAAUUUCCGUUUUCUUGAUUUGCUCUUUUCUUUUUUCUCUUAAGUUUAACCCUAAUUUUCAUCUUGGUUUUCUUUCCUGUGUCCUGCCCACUUUAUCCUUUUCUUUUUUUCCUUUGGGUUGAUUUGGUUUUAUGAUGUCCUUCUUUC